rnacentral:rRNA from 1 species
GACGAACGCUGGCGGCGUGCCUAAUACAUGCAAGUAGAACGCCCAGUUUAUACCGUAGCUUGCUACACCAUGGACUGUGGUUUGCGAACGGGUGGGUAACGCGUAGGUAACCUGCCUGGUAGCGGGGGAUACCUAUUGGAAACGAUAACUAAUACCGCAUAAUAUUGGUUAUUCCUUGGAAAUUGAUUUAAAGAUGCUAUUGAUUCCCUACUAGAUGGACCUGAGUUGUAUUAGCUAGUAGGGUAGGUAACGGUUCACCUAGGGGAAGAUACAUAACCGACCUGAGAGGGAGAGCGGCCACACUGGGACUGAGACACGGCCCAGACUCCUACGGGAGGGAGCAGUAGGGAAUCUUUGGCAAUGGACGAAAGGCUGACCGAGCAACGCCGCGUGAGUGAAGAAGGGUUUCGGAUCGUAAAGCUCUGUUGUAAGAGAAGAACGGGUGUGAGAGUGGAAAGUUCACACUGUGACGGUAUCUUACCAGAAAGGGACGGCUAACUACGUG